CGCUAGCUACAGGCUUAACACAUGCAAGUCGAGGGGCAUCAGGAAGAAAGCUUGCUUUCUUUGCUGGCGACCGGCGCACGGGUGAGUAACACGUAUCCAACCUGCCCUUUACUCGGGGAUAGCCUUUCGAAAGAAAGAUUAAUACCCGAUAGCAUAAUGAUUCCGCAUGGUUUCAUUAUUAAAGGAUUCCGGUAAAGGAUGGGGAUGCGUUCCAUUAGGUUGUUGGUGAGGUAACGGCCCACCAAGCCUUCGAUGGAUAGGGGUUCUGAGAGGAAGGUCCCCCACAUUGGAACUGAGACACGGUCCAAACUCCUACGGGAGGCAGCAGUGAGGAAUAUUGGUCAAUGGGCGCUAGCCUGAACCAGCCAAGUAGCGUGAAGGAUGAAGGCUCUAUGGGUCGUAAACUUCUUUUAUAUAAGAAUAAAGUGCAGUAUGUAUACUGUUUUGUAUGUAUUAUAUGAAUAAGGAUCGGCUAACUCCGUGCCAGCAGCCGCGGUAAUACGGAGGAUCCGAGCGUUAUCCGGAUUUAUUGGGUUUAAAGGGAGCGUAGGUGGACUGGUAAGUCAGUUGUGAAAGUUUGCGGCUCAACCGUAAAAUUGCAGUUGAUACUGUCAGUCUUGAGUACAGUAGAGGUGGGCGGAAUUCGUGGUGUAGCGGUGAAAUGCUUAGAUAUCACGAAGAACUCCGAUUGCGAAGGCAGCUCACUGGACUGCAACUGACACUGAUGCUCGAAAGUGUGGGUAUCAAACAGGAUUAGAUACCCUGGUAGUCCACACAGUAAACGAUGAAUACUCGCUGUUUGCGAUAUACAGUAAGCGGCCAAGCGAAAGCAUUAAGUAUUCCACCUGGGGAGUACGCCGGCAACGGUGAAACUCAAAGGAAUUGACGGGGGCCCGCACAAGCGGAGGAACAUGUGGUUUAAUUCGAUGAUACGCGAGGAACCUUACCCGGGCUUAAAUUGCAGUGGAAUGAUGUGGAAACAUGUCAGUGAGCAAUCACCGCUGUGAAGGUGCUGCAUGGUUGUCGUCAGCUCGUGCCGUGAGGUGUCGGCUUAAGUGCCAUAACGAGCGCAACCCUUAUCUUUAGUUACUAACAGGUUAUGCUGAGGACUCUGGAGAGACUGCCGUCGUAAGAUGUGAGGAAGGUGGGGAUGACGUCAAAUCAGCACGGCCCUUACGUCCGGGGCUACACACGUGUUACAAUGGGGGGUACAGAAGGCAGCUAGCGGGUGACCGUAUGCUAAUCCCAAAAGCCUCUCUCAGUUCGGAUCGAAGUCUGCAACCCGACUUCGUGAAGCUGGAUUCGCUAGUAAUCGCGCAUCAGCCAUGGCGCGGUGAAUACGUUCCCGGGCCUUGUACACACCGCCCGUCAAGCCAUGAAAGCCGGGGGUACCUGAAGUACGUAACCGAAAGGAGCGUCCUAGGGUAAAACUGGUAAUUG
rnacentral:rRNA from 1 species